CACUUUUGUCUAUUUUUAUUCUUUUCUAGCUCAUUUAUCCUUAUUCAAUUAGGCUAUUUUUAAUAUAGCCAUUUAUUCCUAAUUCUUAUUAAAUUACCGCUCAAACUAAAUUUCUUCUCCUAAAUCCUUUCUACACGUUUUCUUCUCUUCAUCAAUAUCUCCACUCCCUAAAAUCUCUCCAACCACCAAAUCCAUGAAUAUUUCUAUCAAUUUUGCCUAUAAGAUCCCACAUUCACGUCCUUUUCAAACUCUACUGCAGUUCUUUCUUCAAUUUCACACGAAGUUCUGAAUCGAGAGAGAGCUGUGAUCUCAAUUCCCCCAGUUUUCUAACAAGUUUGAUUCUUCCUAAAGAUAUGGGAGUUGGAUUUCGUUUCUGUUUUGUAAGUGGUGGACGAUGACUGAGAGGGAGAGGGAAGGCGUGAGUUACAGUAGAGAGAAAAGAAGUUUUCGACAGUCAGAGAAGGGAAUACAUAGGUAUUUUUCUUUCCAUCCUUUUUAUUAAAAAUGUGUUAGAGUCGAGAAUGUACUAAUACAUACAUAUAUGUGGUGGCUGGGCAUUAUACACACAAAACUAAUUUUACUUCUUUUACCUUGUUUUGCAAUGUGUUGGAAUGGGGAGUAUAUACGUGUGCAGAUGUGGGAGUAUUCUGCAUUAAAUUCUUUUUAUAAUAAGCUUUCUGAUGUUCUUUUGUGAUAGAGAGUUUGACGUGUAGUGUUGAGGGAGUUGUUAAAUAAAGUGGUGUUGAGGGAGUAUAUACGUGUAGUGAAAGUUAGAGCUAGUAAAUUGAUAAUGCUUGGUUUAUUAUUAUUUUUUUUUGGUUUGCAACUUUGGCCAAAGUAAUGCUUUAGAAAUGGGCCACUUUAAUUCUUUUGUUGGGCCUAUUUGGUUUUAGUUGGGCUUAGUUGAUUGGUGUUGGGCAAAUUUUUGAGUAAUGGAUUGAAGCUGAAAAGUACGAGGUUUUCAUAUAUAUGCAUACGAUAUUAUUU